rnacentral:lncRNA from 1 species
AAUGGAACGUGGAGCUUCCUUCUCUCACUAUCAGCUACCCAAAUCCAUCUCUGUUAAUCUAAGUGGCUAUUUAUAUACUUGCCUCCAUGUAUAUUUAUAUGCUCAUGAAAAAUUGGAGACUUGCUUUUUGAUUUUUAUGAGUCUUUUCAACAAAGAAGUAGAGGCUUUCUUUCUCGAAAUUUAAUUUUAGAAUUUGUGAAGGUUUUGGGAAUGGCUCGGAAAAGACGAUUUUAUACAUGCAUGCAAGAGUUUGAUAUGUGUAUUGUCUCAUCAUGACUGAGUCAAAGUUUGAUUCAAAUAUUUCCAUGGUGUGGUAGAAAUUAAACAAAUCUUUCAUAUGUGUUCAUUGAAUAUUCCCGUGCAUGCACGAUGAAUGUUUUUGAGUAUCAAUUUUUUUGUUUUAUUUUUUUUUGUUUUUCGAUUCUAAAAACGUAGGGGAGGGGAUUUUAUUGGUUUUCUCUAUGAGUUUUCUCGUUGUAACGGUUGAGUUUUUUUUUUUUCCGUUUCAAAAUGAGAUUCUCGUUUCUCUGCCUUUAUCUAAAAGCAUCUACAGUAAAUUAAAAGACACUAAAAAACAAAAAAUUAAAAGACACUGAAAUUUUUUUUAUACUUAAUAAACAUUUAAGUAUAUAUAAACAGUCUUACUAGUCCCAAGUUUUACAAUUCAAAAUUUAUUAGUAAUUGUUUUUUGGAAAAAAUCUAAGUGAAUUUUUGUCCAAAAUUUUCCUUUUACUGUGUUUAUUCUAGUGGGUGUCAUUAACUUUAAUCUUGUGAUUCUUUUAACGUUUACCAUUGGGAACCUUCACAUGAAAUAAAUGUCUACUUUAUCGAGUCAUACCUUCUUCUCCGUAAAUUAAUUGAUGUUCUUCUUCAAAAUUUGAGUUUCUGUUUUUUGUAAUAAACUAAACGAAAGAAUUUGGGAAUACGUGUUUAUACAAUUAUACUUUUAAAGUUAUAUUUAUGUCAAAAUUUAAGUAUUUCGAGAAGAGGAAAGAUCCUUUUGACAUUUUUGUUCUAUAGUUAUUAUUUAUUAGAAACGUAACGGCAAGAAUCUGAACAGUACCUACUCAACGGGGUCCAUAAGUCUAGUCAACAAAUGUAGUUGACUAUGUCCAGGCCAAAAACGUACGGUUAUUAUUAACCAUAGUUAAUAGUUAAAAGUUAACCAUGGUUCGGUUAACAUUAAACCCUUUUUCCUCUUUUAACAAACCCCAAAACCUUUCUUCAGAUUUUCUCUCUGCUUUUCACAAUCGUCGUCUCAAUUUUUUCCUGCAAAAUUCCGAUCGCCAUGGAUGAUGGAGCUGUUGAGAUACGUGAAGAGCAACGUCGAUUGAUCGUGGCCCAGCAGCAACCACCAUGUAUGGCUCGUGAACAAGACCAGUACAUGCCAAUCGCAAACGUCAUAAGAAUCAUGCGUAAAAUCUUACCGUCGCACGCUAAAAUCUCUGACGACGCCAAAGAAACGAUUCAAGAAUGUGUCUCCGAGUACAUAAGCUUCGUGACCGGUGAAGCCAACGAGCGUUGCCAACGUGAGCAACGUAAGACCAUAACUGCUGAAGAUAUCCUUUGGGCUAUGAGCAAGCUUGGGUUCGAUAACUACGUGGAUCCCCUCACCGUGUUUAUUAACCGGUACCGUGAGAUAGAGACCGAUCGUGGGUCGGCACUUAGAGGUGAGCCACCGUCGUUGAGACAGGCCUAUGGAGGAAAUGGUAUUGGGUUUCACGGCCCACCACAUGGCCCAUCUCAUGGCCUACCUCCUCCUGGUCCUUAUGGUUAUGGUAUGUUGGACCAAUCCAUGGUUAUGGGAGAUGGUCGGUUCUACCAAAACGGGUCGUCGGGUCAGGACGAAUCAAGUGCUGGUGGUGGCUAUUCGUCUUCCAUUAACGGAAUGCCGGCGUAUGACCAAUAUGGUCAGUAUAAGUGAAGAUGGAAUUAUUCUUCAUUUUUAUGUAUAUCGAUUCAAAACAUGUGUUUGAAUAGAUAUUUUAUCUUUGUAUUAUCAAUAACAUUUCUAUAUAUAAUGUUGCUCCUUUUAAGGAAAAGUGUUGAGUUUCAAUACUUUUCGAGAACUGAUUUAUAUAUGCAAAUGAAAAAGUGUUUUUGGAUGAAACUCUAUGCAAUAUUACAUGAUCUAAAGGUUUUUGUAAUUUUAAAGCUGCUAUAGUUAGAAGAUAACUAAACAUUAUAGGAACCAAGUUUGCUUUUUUUUAUAUAGUUAGAAGAUUUAUAUAUGCAAACAAAAAGGGUUAUAAAAUCAAAAUUCAAAAUGAAGCAAGUGGUCCAAAUGCAUUGACCACAUAAACACUUUAAUAACCAAAAUAUAGGAUUUUUGUAAGACUCUCAAGUCUGACGCACAACAGUUUAUGUUAUUUAUAGAGUUGACUGUACCAUUAAAGAUUUCAAAAAAAUUAGAUCUUUAUUAGGUUCAUUUGUUGUUACACUCCUCCUUCUAUAUAAUAAUAACCUCCACUCCUCUCUAUGAGCAGCAAUGUGAAAGAUAUGGUCCAAGUGAAGUCAAACCCAACAAAUGAGCCUAGUCAACAACCACAACACAAAAAGACAAAGACCAGAAAAGUUUCACCGGCUGAGAGUAUCUCCAACAGUAAUGUCUUGAGGAAUAUCUUAAGAUUAAAAAAAUAAAAAAUAAUAAAAAAGUAGGAGAGAGUGUAGACACAGUUUCUGGUUUGAGAAACUUUGAGAAACUGUGUUUCCACUUGUCAUUUUAUUAUUGGUCAAAUUCUUUUUUUAUAAUUUAUAAUUUAAAUAAAUAAUUUAUUUAUUAUAAAUUGAUUAAAAUAAUAUUUUUGAUACACCCACACAGUGUCACAUAAACUCCCCUCUGAUCGCGGAAGCUGUGGCGGCCCUUCUCGCGUUGCAACACGCCCGAAACCUUGGUUUCACAUAGCUCUCUCUUGCUUCUGACUCGUCUCAACUCGUCAAAGCACUUCAAUCGGAGCUUCAAGUAAAGGAACUCCACGGGAUUCAAUUCGACAUCCUUGAUCUAUGUUUAAGUUUCUCUGCAAUUUCUUUUCGCUUUAUCCCACGAUCUCAAAACACUGUAGCGGAUUCGUUGGCCAAGGAGGCCUUACUCUCCUUUGUACUGGGCCUGGCCCAACUCUAGUUUUCAAUUGAAUCAUCCAUCCUUUGCACAAAAAAAAAAAUUUGUAAGCGUUAUGAUUGCAUUGGAGAGGUUUACUUGUCCGUUCAUUUUUUGAAUUCAAAUAAUGGGAGUUCAAACACUUAGAAAUAUCAGCAUUACUAUAUAUAUACUACUAGUAUUCAUUUGUUUAACAUAUAUGGAUGGUCGAUUAUUUUUUUGUUAAUCAACGCCGAAGGGUAAAGAGCUCAUGUUUUUUUCGUGAUGUAGCCUAAAGAUUAAUAUAAGUUUAUUGCAAAAAAAAAUAAUGAAAAAUCACUUCUAUUAAUUUUGUUAACAUGCAAGGUCAAAUUACUUUUCACUCUCUAUCUCAUUUCUCGUCAUGCAUAUAUGUUCGCAAGAAUCUCCAAUGUUGAUAUAUUCACCUAUCUCAACUCAUAUUUACGUAAUGUAAUUUCUUGUAAUUUGCCAGUUCAUCUCUACUCGAAAAUGCCCAAUCCUAAUAACAUAGAGGUGUGCUGAAAAAUAAUGGGAGAAUUAGCCUCAUAAUAUUUUGCGUAAGAGUAACUUGGAAGACGUACAUUGACCAAGGUAUUAUGAUUUUUGUCAGUUAAUGGCACCCCAUUGGACCAACAAAUUAAGCAAUCCCCGCAUUCCUUUAAUUUAAUCGUAACAAUAUGUAUUAAACUAAAUAUACAUGCACAACAAUUAAUUUCAAAUACAUUAAAAAAACGCACAAGUCAUAACAAUGAUUAUUCGAGUUUAUUACUCCAUAUGCGACUAUGAACAUUUUAAUAAACUUCGACAUCAAAGAAGCUGAGACAUGCAUGCCGAAACAAGCAUUCCUCUUCUGACUUCUCUCGUCCACAAUUUUUUUUUAUUUUUUGAAUACUAAGGUGUUAAAUUAUUAUAUCUAAUUAAUUAUAGCAAAUAAUUGAAGGUAUAGGUCGAGGUUUUCAUUAAAGAAACAAUAGGCUCUCUAAUUCUAUAGAUCAAUUAUUGACCACUCGAGGAUUUACAUUAUAUUUCAUGCAUGUAUAUUUGUUAGAAGUAAACUGUUUUUUCUUGUUUUCAUUUCUAGUAAGAAAUUCUUAGUCCUAGUUUUAUUUUUGUCUUAAAAGCUUACUUGAAUAGUUAAAAAGUUCAAUACUUAUCAAAAAAAUAUUUAUACUAAUAUUACACAAAAAAAAAUAUGUAAAAAUAUAUAGUUAAAAGUUCAAACUAAAAAUAGAUGCUUUGAGAUAUUUGAGUGCACAUUACUUUAAAUUUGAUGGGAAAUCUGUAAACCAGUAAUUCUCUAUCUGCAGGAUAAUUAAUUUGUGUGUGGAGUGGUUAGAUUUCGAAGUCAACAGUUUAGUCAAAGUGCUGUCAGAAAAAUUACAUGCGGGGGCUGUAAGAAAUAAUACAUUUACAUGGAUUACAAAAACAGUUUUUAAGAAGAAAAAAAAGUGGUUUACCAAAAAAAAAAAGUGACGCUUUCAAAUUAUUUAAAAUAGAAAAGUGUUUUAUGGGUUUAUACUUUAUAGAAUAUUACACACAUUAAGAUCUAAUAUUGUUGCAUCUAAUAAUAUUUAUACUUCAGAGAUUUCAAAAUGUAGUGUUAUUUAAUCAAUAUUUUAAAUAUUUCAUAAAAUCUAGUAUUGUUCAAAAGUAUAACAUUUAAUUAAUAUUUUGAUACAUAAAUCUAUCUUUACUAUACUAUAAAUCUAGUAGAUUAGUCCAACAUCCUUAUUAAACCACCUCUCAAUGAAAAAUUAAAAUAGACCAAAAAAUUACAUCAGAAAUAUUAAAUGAUGAAUAAUAUAAGCAACUUCUUAAUGAUACACAACACCAAUCCUAGUUUUUCUAAUUUUUGUAACUUUUUUUUUUAUUUGUUUCUACCAAACUUAUCCAAAUAUAAAUUGAUAGAAACUAACAGAUAACUAAACAAUGCCACAAAAAUCUUUAUCAACCAUUGGAUUACUAGGGUGUUGGAUUUAUAUAUUUAUUGGUUAUUUAUGUAUUAGAAAAUGCAAAGCAACAUUCAAUUGUAAGUUUGUAACAUGCAUCUAACACCAAUAUCUUUUACUAAACUUUUGUAAUCCCUUAAACACUUUAAAAUGCUAAUUCAAAUUAAAAAUACAUUACACGUGAUACAUAGUUUUAAAAACAGUAGACUUAUAGCUCAUUUUCGUAACGCAUAUAUAUAUUAAAAUUUACCAAAAUUUACCAUUUCGAGUAAGAGAAUCUUUUUAAAAAUAAUUUUCAAUUUCAUUAAUUAAGAAACAAUGAAUUUAAUGAAAUGUAUAUUUUAUUAAAUUCCCAUAAAGUAUAUAUAAUUAAAAUAAUGCCACGUAAAUCUUUCUCCGCCGUUCGAUAAUCAAAUACUUUCUUGAUUAAAAAUGUAUUCAGAAAAUGUUAAACCAACAUUUAUCUAUAAACAAAGAGAGCCUCAUAUGUGUAAAAAUCUUCUUCUUAUCUUUCUUUCUUUCUUAAUAGAGUCUUUAAUUUUUACUCAAUUAGCUUUGGUAAUUUGUGAAAAAAACAACCAAUGAGAGAAGAGCAGUUUGACUGGCCACAUAGCCAAUGAAAUUAGCCAAUGGGAAAGAGAUAUAGAGACCUCGUAAGAACCGCCUCCUUUGCCAUUUGUAUCAUCUCUCUAUAAAACCACUCAACCAUCAACCUUUCUUUACAUGCAACAAAUCACUCAAAUAAUUAUUUUAUAAAGAACAAAAAAAAAAAGACGGCAGGGAAACAAUGGAACGUGGAGCUUCCUUCUCUCACUAUCAGCUACCCAAAUCCAUCUCUGUUAAUCUAAGUGGCUAUUUAUAUACUUGCCUCCAUGUAUAUUUAUAUGCUCAUGAAAAAUUGGAGACUUGCUUUUUGAUUUUUAUGAGUCUUUUCAACAAAGAAGUAGAGGCUUUCUUUCUCGAAAAUUAAUUUUAGAAUUUGUGAAGGUUUUGGGAAUGGCUCUGAAAAGACGAUUUUAUACAUGCAUGCAAGAGUUUGAUAUGUGUAUUGUCUCAUCAUGACUGAGUCAAAGUUUGAUUCAAAUAUUUCCAUGGUGUGGUAGAAAUUAAACAAAUCUUUCAUAUGUGUUCAUUGAAUAUUCCCGUGCAUGCACGAGGAAUGUUUUUGAGUAUCAAUUUUUUUGUUUUAUUUUUUUUUGUUUUUCGAUUCUAAAAACGUAGGGGAGGGGAUUUUAUUGGUUUUCUCUAUGAGUUUUCUCGUUGUAACGGUUGAGUUUUUUUUUUUUCCGUUUCAAAAUGAGAUUCUCGUUUCUCUGCCUUUAUCUAAAAGCAUCUACAGUAAAUUAAAAGACACUAAAAAACAAAAAAUUAAAAGACACUGAAAUUUUUUUAUACUUAAUAAACAUUUAAGUAUAUAUAAACAGUCUUACUAGUCCCAAGUUUUACAAUUCAAAAUUUAUUAGUAAUUGUUUUUUGGAAAAAAUCUAAGUGAAUUUUUGUCCAAAAUUUUCCUUUUACUGUGUUUAUUCUAGUGGGUGUCAUUAACUUUAAUCUUGUGAUUCUUUUAACGUUUACCAUUGGGAACCUUCACAUGAAAUAAAUGUCUACUUUAUCGAGUCAUACCUUCUUCUCCGUAAAUUAAUUGAUGUUCUUCUUCAAAAUUUGAGUUUCUGUUUUUUGUAAUAAACUAAACGAAAGAAUUUGGGAAUACGUGUUUAUACAAUUAUACUUUUAAAGUUAUAUUUAUGUCAAAAUUUAAGUAUUUCGAGAAGAGGAAAGAUCCUUUUGACAUUUUUGUUCUAUAGUUAUUACUUAUUAGAAACGUAACGGCAAGAAUCUGAACAGUACCUACUCAACGGGGUCCAUAAGUCUAGUCAACAAAUGUAGUUGACUAUGUCCAGGCCAAAAACGUACGGUUAUUAUUAACCAUAGUUAAUAGUUAAAAGUUAACCAUGGUUCGGUUAACAUUAAACCCUUUUUCCUCUUUUAACAAACCCCAAAACCUUUCUUCAGAUUUUCUCUCUGCUUUUCACAAUCGUCGUCUCAAUUUUUUCCUGCAAAAUUCCGAUCGCCAUGGAUGAUGGAGCUGUUGAGAUACGUGA